GAUGAAUUGGUUCGUCAAAGGGAAACAUGUGGAUUAAAAAAGGACAACCCAUACGUCUUCGCUAAAUGUAGGUUGUUGCACCUACACAGCUAGCAAGUUCUCAAUAAGUUGGCAAAAGCAGCGGGCUGCAAAUCCCCAAGCUUGAUAUCCUCAAGCCGAUUGAUAUAGUAUCUAGCGACAGUCUGUCAGUUGCUAGAUUUGGAAUCAACGGAGUUGGAAUGGCUUGCGCACCACUUGGUGCACAACAUAAAAAGCACUAUCGCCAGCAUGAUGCCGUUGUGGAGAUAGCAAAAGUAGGGCGGCUUAUAAUGGCGGCUGACGGUGGAGAGCUGGGACAGUUAAAAAUCUGGCCGAUAUCGACGUGAGCAAAAUGCAUAUCUAAACCAAGGAGGAUGAC